UACGUAGGGUGCAAGCGUUAAUCGGAAUUACUGGGCGUAAAGCGUGCGCAGGCGGUUAUGUAAGACAGAUGUGAAAUGCCCGGGCUUAACCUGGGAACUGCAUUUGUGACUGCAUGGCUAGAAUCUGGCAGAGGGGGGUAGAAUUCCACGUGUAGCAGUGAAAUGCGUAGAUAUGUGGAGGAACACCGAUGGCGAAGGCAGCCCCCUGGGUCAAGAUUGACGCUCGAUGCACGAAAGCGUGGGGAGCAAACAG
rnacentral:rRNA from 1 species